AACGAACGCUGGCGGCAGGCCUAACACAUGCAAGUCGAACGCCCCGCAAGGGGAGUGGCAGACGGGUGAGUAACACGUGGGAACGUGCCCAAAGGUACGGAACAACUCCGGGAAACUGGAGCUAAUACCGUAUGUGCCCGAAAGGGGAAAGAUUUAUCGCCUUUGGAUCGGCCCGCGUCUGAUUAGCUAGUUGGUGGGGUAAUGGCCUACCAAGGCGACGAUCAGUAGCUGGUCUGAGAGGAUGACCAGCCACACUGGGACUGAGGCACGGCCCAGACUCCUACGGGAGGCAGCAGUGGGGAAUAUUGGACAAUGGGCGAAAGCCUGAUCCAGCCAUGCCGCGUGAGUGAUGAAGGCCUUAGGGUUGUAAAGCUCUUUCGCCAGGGACGAUAAUGACGGUACCUGGAUAAGAAGCCCCGGCUAACUUCGUGCCAGCCGCCGCGGUAACAC
rnacentral:rRNA from 1 species